rnacentral:rRNA from 1 species
GAUGAACGCUGGCGGCGUGCCUAAUACAUGCAAGUCGAGCGAACGGACGAGAAGCUUGCUUCUCUGAUGUUAGCGGCGGACGGGUGAGUAACACGUGGAUAACCUACCUAUAAGACUGGGAUAACUUCGGGAAACCGGAGCUAAUACCGGAUAAUAUUUUGAACCGCAUGGCUCAAAAGUGAAAGACGGUCUUGCUGUCACUUAUAGAUGGAUCCGCGCUGCAUUAGCUAGUUGGUAAGGUAACGGCUUACCAAGGCAACGAUGCAUAGCCGACCUGAGAGGGUGAUCGGCCACACUGGAACUGAGACACGGUCCAGACUCCUACGGGAGGCAGCAGUAGGGAAUCUUCCGCAAUGGGCGAAAGCCUGACGGAGCAACGCCGCGUGAGUGAUGAAGGUCUUCGGAUCGUAAAACUCUGUUAUUAGGGAAGAACAUAUGUGUAAGUAACUGUGCACAUCUUGACGGUACCUAAUCAGAAAGCCCCGGCUAACUACGUG